GACGGAGGGUGCAAACGUUGUUCGGAAUUACUGGGCGUAAAGCGCGUGUAGGCGGCCAUCUAAGUCGGGCGUGAAAUCCCACGGCUCAACCGUGGAAGUGCACUCGAAACUGGAUGGCUAGAGUCCUGGAGAGGAAGGUGGAAUGCUUGGUGUAGAGGUGAAAUUCGUAGAUAUUGGGAAGAACACCGGUGGCGAAGGCGGCGACCUGGUCCGAUACUGACGCUGAGGCGCGAAAAGCGUGGGGGAGCAAACAGG
rnacentral:rRNA from 1 species